GGCACGUCUCUGCAUCACCUAUGCAGUCGAACGAUGAUGCCUAGCUUGCUAGGUGGAUUAGUGGCGAACGGGUGAGUAACACGUGAGUAACCUGCCCCUGACUCUGGGAUAAGCCUGAGAAAUUGGGUCUAAUACUGGAUAUGAACAUUUACCGCAUGGUGGGUGUUGGAAAGAUUUUUUGGUUGGGGAUGGACUCGCGGCCUAUCAGCUUGUUGGUGAGGUAGUGGCUCACCAAGGCGACGACGGGUAGCCGGCCUGAGAGGGUGACCGGCCACACUGGGACUGAGACACGGCCCAGACUCCUACGGGAGGCAGCAGUGGGGAAUAUUGCACAAUGGGCGAAAGCCUGAUGCAGCGACGCCGCGUGAGGGAUGACGGCCUUCGGGUUGUAAACCUCUUUCAGUAAGGAAGAAGCGAAAGUGACGGUACUUGCAGAAGAAGCGCCGGCUAACUACGUGCCAGCAGCCGCGGUAAUACGUAGGGCGCGAGCGUUAUCCGGAAUUAUUGGGCGUAAAGAGCUCGUAGGCGGUUUGUCGCGUCUGCCGUGAAAGUCCGGGGCUUAACUCCGGAUCUGCGGUGGGUACGGGCAGGCUAGAGUGCAGUAGGGGAGACUGGAAUUCCUGGUGUAGCGGUGAAAUGCGCAGAUAUCAGGAGGAACACCGAUGGCGAAGGCAGGUCUCUGGGCUGUAACUGACGCUGAGGAGCGAAAGCAUGGGUAGCGAACAGGAUUAGAUACCCUGGUAGUCCAUGCCGUAAACGUUGGGCACUAGGUGUGGGGGGACAUUCCACGUUUUCCGCGC
rnacentral:rRNA from 1 species